AAGGGGGGAAGCGGCGUAAGGGGCAGUAAGGCGUGGGUACCUACCCGGGGGUCGGGGAUAGCCCGUCGAGAGACGGGGUAAUACCCGAUGACGUGGAGACACCAAAGGUCCGCCGCCCUCGGCGGGGCCCACGUGAUAUUAGCUAGUUGGUGGGGUAACGGCCCACCAAGGCGGGGAUGUCUAGCGGGUGUGAGAGCACGACCCGCGCCACUGGCACUGAGACACUGGCCAGACACCUACGGGUGGCUGCAGUCGAGGAUCUUCGGCAAUGGGGGAAACCCUGACCGAGCGACGCCGCGUGGGCGACGAAGGCCUUCGGGUUGUAAAGCCCUGUCGAGGGGGAGAAAACCUUAACCGGGUGAUCUAUCCCUGGAGGAAGCACGGGCUAAGUUCGUGCCAGCAGCCGCGGUGAGACGAACCGUGCGAACGUUGUUCGGAAUCACUGGGCUUAAAGGGCGCGUAGGCGGGUUGCCGCGUCCGGGGUGAAAUCCCACGGCUCAACCGUGGGGCGGCCCCGGGUACGGGCGGCCUCGAGGAGGGUAGGGGCAUGCGGAACUCUGGGUGGAGCGGUGAAAUGCGUUGAUAUCCAGAGGAACUCCGGUGGCGAAGGCGGCAUGCUGGACCCUUCCUGACGCUGAGGCGCGAAAGCCAGGGGAGCGAACGGGAUUAGAUACCCCGGUAGUCCUGGCCCUAAACGAUGAGAACUAGGUAGCCGGCCGGACAUGGGCUGGCUGCCGGAGCCAAAGUGCUAAGUUCUCCGCCUGGGGAGU
rnacentral:rRNA from 1 species